rnacentral:lncRNA from 1 species
CUCUUUCUCCUCCCUGCCUAACUGGUGAGGUGGGACUUCAAUGCCUUUUAGGUUUACAGUCUUUUCCUCCCCACGGCUUCUCUUUCCUCCCCGUCUCAGGCACUGGGCAUUUCCAGUCGAUCCAGCAGGUCUGGCUUCUCUCACAUAUGCAGUAAGGGUUAGGGGAGAAGGUCCCAGCUCCUCUUGUCUCUAGCAGAGUGUAAACUGGCUCUGCUGAGGAGGUGGCUGUGCUUUUAUUCCUUCUCCUGAGAACUGUUUAUAUAUUAAGGAGCUUCACAGCCUCCAACAUAAGGAAAGCAGGUAGGAACUGAUCAUAUAACGCUUUGUAAAUGUUUUAGACUUUGGCUUUAAUGGGAAAGAAAUGGGGAGCCAUUCGUGGGUUUUUGAGCAGCAGGUGGACAUUGCUUUUCAUAAUGACCACGCCAGCUGCUGUUUGGAGAAUAGACUGUAGGGGUCACUGCGCAAAUUGGAGGCCGCGAUCCAGGUGAGAACCAGGUGAAACAGAGCUCGGGCCAUGGAGUGGCGCUGGAGGCCUCAAACUUCUUCAUGGGAAAAGAUGGCUUCUCUUUUUUAAUUGAAUGAACUAGAAGAAGUUCAUUGUUAUUCAUCAACUUCAAAGAGACUAUAUGAGGCCCCUUGGCCAGGACUACAGAGCAGUAUUUUUUAAUCAGAAAUUAUAGCCAAAAAGAAGAGACCAGAACACAUGGGGGAUGAAGUGGGAUGAGAGGAAGGAGAAGAGAUGAAGGUGAAAGACCACUCUGAG